AUGUGCAGCAAUACUACAUCUGGUGCCCACAAAGACUCGACGAGUAAAAAGCGCUCUAAUGUUGGUCCUCUUGGUCAAACCUGCCAAAUGGAUUGGGUCUCACAAGACAAUGGCAUAAAACCCAUUUCAGAUCACAAAGACGUGGAUGAGAUCAAAAUAAAGAAAAGUGCUGCAGGACAUUCAGAACUCAGGGAAACUGACAAAAAGAAGGAGAAUAAAUCAGAGAAUGAAAGUAAAAUGGAUAGAUCACUUGGAGAGAGCAUCGCAGAAACAUUCAAGGAGAACAGCAAAAAAGACUGUCCAAAUGUCAGUCUCUUUACUUUUGAGACUGUGGUGGCCCCGUUGUACCAUGAAGUAUUUAUCAGGAUGGACACCAAAACAAAAAAGGUGACUGAGAAGGAAUUAAAAGGUGACUCAAAACAUGACCAAGUGGAUGAAAUGAACACCCUAGCUGGCGCACAGACAAGCUGUCCCCUUACGAGGAAAACUGUGUCAAAUACCUCAGAACAUAAAAUCAUGAACAAAUUACUGCCUAAAAAUGAUGAAAAGGAACACUUUGAUUCAGCUGCAAAUGAUUAUUUAAUCUGUCAAAGACCUAACACCAAACAGGAACAGCUAGUUUGUGAAAAAACAUCAACAUUAUUCCUUGCACAAAACACACAACGACCCCAAGACACUGCAAACACUGAUGGUAGCAACCACCCAAAAUAUCCACUUUAUGGAACCCAAAACGUUCAAGAUGUGCAGAAAGUAGUGGAACAACCUCUAGCUGACUCCACCCUAGGUCAUCGAAGUUACACACCAGUGAAUUCUACCGAAACAGAUACAGACAUAGAGCAUAUUCAGACUCACAUGAACAUAGCAUACUGCCAUUCUGUAAGCCCUUUAGGGAAUGUAGAUUAUGAGGUGGAAACAAGCAUGGAGGUUCAGCCGCACGAUUCACAAGAUUCAGAUGAGCAGCUUUCUGUGCCCAAAAAUGAAAUACUUCCGGAGGCUCCUCAUUCCCCCAGAACAUCUCAAGGUCCAGCUGUAUGUCCAGCGAGCUCCAGGAAUGAUGAUGGAACUGAAGACGAUCCUAACCUUUUACUAGCACAGUCAGACAACGUUAGAGUUAUGCGUGGCAUUAAAAGUACUGUCCUGGACACUAUACAUAUCCCGACGCCAACCCAAGAAUAUUCACGUGAAGUUCAAACUCAAACUAGAGAGGACCCACUCAGCGCUUUUGAUCGAGAGCCCAACUCUCCAGACACUCGUGACGCGAUAGUAACCUGUCAAAACACGGAUCUCACCAAAGAACAAACUACUUCUGACCUCAAACCUACACUGACGUUUGACAAAGUGCUGGGCCAAAGUUCUAAAGAAAUCCUGCAGGUGACAUCUGGAAUUGCAGAAAACUCUCUAAAUCUCCAUGCAGAGAAAGGUGGAACAGCACCAGAGUUUGAUAAAGCAGAAGACAGUGACACUAAGGAGCCAUGCCUUUUCCUGAGUGAAGAAAUGGGGGUACAACAUGGAUCCUCUCCAGCCUUUCUGGAGUCAUCGUGCCCCCAUGAUGAAGAGACUGAGAACACCACUACCGACCCGUUUACAACAUCCCCGAUCUCCACUGAGUGCAAAGACAGCCAAGGUGAUCCGGAUCUAGCUGAAUUAAAUGAGAAUAACGAUGGAGAAACGGAAAUACUGAAUGAGUCACACAAGUGUGACAGCUGUGCCAGUGAGCAAACUCAGCUGGCACUCCCUGAUGAGGGUAGACCGUCUUUUGAAGGACACAAUCCUAAUGAGUGUGGUGACAUGAAGCAGGAACAAGAGAGCUCAGUUUCUAUUGAGACUCAAAGCCAAGAGGACCCAACUCUGACACAGACCUCAAAUAAAGAUGAAAUAUCAGCCCAAACCCCUGGAACAACAAAUACCCAACUAUUAAAUAUCUCAGACUCAAAGAAGACAACGGACAAGAACCCAGAGCAAGCAGACAAUGACCUAGUCUCAGAACCUGACAUCAAAUGUAUGAAAAGUAGAGGCUGCCUAAAUACCGCAUUUGUCCAGGCUGAAGGCGAAGAGACGUCCAGACUACUGGCCCAAAGGAACAGAGCCACAUUCAGUGAAAGACAAGAGGAACUUACUCAGCCUGUCACUAAUCCUGACAUCUUCAUUCCAGACCACUGCCAGGACACUCGACUUACCCUGGCCCAAAUAUUAGAUACCACAAUCACACCUAACAAAAACGUCAUCCAAACUGAUGAUGAAAACACUUUACUACAAACAAGGGAUUCAGAGCGGUCAAAUAAUCUCCAUAUAACAGAAAUCUGUAAGAUAGUGCCACAAUAUGACACUGUCAAACACACUGAACUUGGACAAAGGCCUGAGCAAAAUCUAUCGGUUCCAUCCAACACAGAAAAAGACAUUCUAAGCAUCGCACCUGAACGGCACAGAACGUCACUCAUCUCCACAGAACCUACAAUCAACCAACGUGAAGGACCUAACGCUGAAGCAAAAGAAGAGACUAUCAAUACAGAAACUGAAUCAGUGACCGGAUCACACGAGGGUGGCAGUUUAACAGAGGAAGCCACGGAACAGCCAGUCACAGAUAGAGGUAUUUCUGAAGGACAGACAGACAUUCUGGAUGAUUUAAUGCUGCAGCAGUCAUUUCCAAUAUUAAAAGACACCGUAAUGCCCACUACAGAUUCCUUUGACCCAACCCCAACCCAACUUCAGGCAAGUACAGCACCCACCCAGUUGGGAAAUGCUAAUAUGAAAGAAGAGAGUGAAAAGAUUGAGACACUGAAAGAUCCAAACAAAGAACGCUGUGCUAAAGGAUCAACGGAACAGACAUCUGCGGGUGAAGAGGUGCAUGAUGGGGAAGAACAGGCAGAGCGCUGGGGUGAUGCGAUGUCACCUGAGUGGAAUGAUGAUGCGGAUGACCCCAGCGUUUCUCCUACAGCUGGCAGUAGUAUAGGCAGCACGGAGAUCAUGAGCGAUGAUGAGGCUAACACUUGCACUGAUUCCAUUAUGAGUUCAACCUGUAAACAGGAGACAGAUUUAAAAAACACAGACUUGCUCAUGGUGGACGGCCACAUUCAGAACAAGGUAGAUGAAGGAGAAUUUGAAAGUAUGGGGAAAGUAAUUGAGGACGUAAGUCAGGAUUGUGAGUUAAAAGAAAGUGAACAUGAAGCGUACCAUGACGAUGCAAAACAUGAGGACUACAGUUAUUUCAGUCCCGAUUCUCAUUGGCUUGCAAAUGAGGUCAACUAUGUCUCUGAGACAUUAAUGGCCCAGGUCUACGUUAAAGAAGGAGAACCAGCUGGAGUAGCAGAAGAAAGUGAUUCUGUUAAAGGAAGAGAAGAAAGGAAUAAGCUGAUAGGCAAUGACCAAUCAAUGGAAAUACCUGUCAACCCCCUGGCUGGUGGUGUGGAGGGAACAGGCAGCCGGCUCACGGAUAGCUUCUUGGACCUGGGAGACGCGCUCCAGGAAUUAGAAAAUGGGACAGAAGCUGAAGACGGAAUAUCAGGAAUAGAGCAAAGCUCCUUGACAGUUGAAGAGGGGGGGUCAGUCUCGGGUGAUAACUCAACGGAAUCUGUGUCCGAUGACGAGAUGGAGCUGUACAUGCACGCUCUGAGAGCGGCUCAAAGAGCUGAACUCAAAGACUCCACGGCCCCUCCUGGGAAGAGAGAAGCAGCAGGCCUUUCUGCUUUCAAAAGGCCCUCUGUGAGUAAGGCAGGCGGUGCUCUGCCACCCAUCACUGAAUCUGUAGAUGAAGACGAUCGACUCACUGCUGCACAGGCACAAACUAGAGACCAGCCGCCGGUCAGAAACCCAGCCCUGGUGUGUCUGCCCAUGAGGAUGCUAACGCCACUGGAGCGAACUGGACGGACUGGACAGAGCGCUUGA
rnacentral:lncRNA from 1 species